AUCCCGUAUCUUCCUGCUUAUGUGGUCCACGUUUUAUCACGUUUGGUUUUGACAAUAUAUGUUGUCUUGUGGGUGCAGAUUUAGAAUGGAACCUCGUAUACAGAAUGAUGUCAUUUGAAAACCCAAUCAAGGGGAGUUGAUUCUGCCAGGCUGCUUGAAGGCUCCCUUUAGGUGGGGUCAUGGAGAAUACUUAACAGCUGGCUUUCACAUUGCCAAUUUGAAAGUUUCAAAUGAUAGAUCAGUUGUCAAACCUAGCAACAACAUUGCUGUAUAUAUAAAACUCCUAAGGGUCAAAUAAAAUCUAAGCAAGGAAUUUCCAUGGCCAACAAUGGAGUCAUCCCUAAGAUCCCUCGCAGACCUCCCAGACAGACAGACUUUGGUUUCGAAACCAUUGUUAAUGAAAAACUGGCUUCUCAACCGAAGAAAAAGCAAGUGCAGAAGGAGAGCGUCGGUUCAUUGACAUUCAUUCAAUCAAUCUCUUUUGCAGUUGUCUGGUUUUGGACGACGAUCACUGCAGCUUUUAAGGUUCGAAUUCAAGGCGGGGAUUCCCCCAAUAUAAAAGUCAAAAUCACUUCCAGGAAGAAGAAAAAAAUUAGACAGAAAAGGUAGAUUUCAUCUUAAGUGUACUCUCUUUCAUAUUGGUUUAUGAGUCACAAAAUUGAUCUGUUUCAGACUAUGAUUCUCCUUUGUAAUUUCCAAUAAAUUUUAACUGUCAGAAGUUGAUUAGUGUGUGUUUGCGUUUGUACGAGCAGGGAAUCUGUUGUAAUAUUACCUUGAUUUUUCAAUGCAAUAAUUUUGAGGUAAAAUAGUCCAUAACAAUUGGCCCCUAAGGAAUGCUUUGAAGGGUUCCAAAAUCAUUGUUGAAGAUUAAAAAUGGUUCGAACUCGUUAAUUUUCUUUUUCA